rnacentral:rRNA from 1 species
UACAGAGACUGCAAGCGUUAUUCGGAUUCACUGGGCGUAAAGGGUGCGUAGGUGGCGCUGUAAGUGGGGUGUGAAAUCCCGGGGCUUAACCCCGGGACUGCAUUCCAUACUGCGGUGCUUGAGGACUGGAGAGGAGACUGGAAUUUACGGUGUAGCAGUGAAAUGCGUAGAGAUCGUAAGGAAGACCAGUGGCGAAGGCGGGUCUCUGGACAGUUCCUGACACUGAGGCGCGACAGCGUGGGGAGCAAACAGG